GCCACGUCUGCUGGAAGCGGCCUCACACUGGCACAGUCACUUCCAUCCCGGGGGGCCCUCUCGGCACCGGGACCUGGGGAGACAGCGGCCGAGGUCCAGCCGGAGCAAGGCCCCGACUGCCCAAGGCUGGCAUCUCAGGCAAUUCGCGAGCACAGGUGGCUCCCCGGCUGCCAGGUGGACUCAGGACGAACUCUGUGUGACACGUGGUCCAGGCCUCCGGCCCCAGCACUAGGGACAGCCUAUCUCGAGCGCACGUGUGUGAUGGCGGCACCUGCAGGGCCGUGUAACAGGGUCUGUCCUACUCCAGGCUGGGAUCAGAUGCUGCCUUCUUCAGCGUCAUUCAGAAGACGCAUCUGGAUGCCGGGGUGCGUCCUCCGAAAAGCGGAGCGUGAUUUGGGAACACCAGGAUGCUCGGGACAGGAUCUCCGUGGUCUUCGCAGCCCCACAGGAGCAGGCGGGUUGCCGAGUGUUCUGUUUCCCGUGAGCGCGCGCGUUAUUGUGUGCGAAAGCCAUCUGUGCUUGCUCGCCACCAACCACAACGCUGCCUGUCCCCUUGGCUGGGUCCUACCCCGCCUCCUCCUCGCCAAUGCAACCCGCUUGGUGACUUGGAGGAAUCGGACUGUACACCUGGCUUCAACUCGAUGCCUUCCAACGGGUUCUUUUCUUUUUUUUUUAAAUAUAAUCUUUAUUAUAUUUUUUCCCAUUACCAUUUA